rnacentral:rRNA from 1 species
UGCUGGAAUGAAUGGUUGGACGAGAUAUAAACUGUUUCGAUUUUAUUUAUAAUAGAAUUUUAUUUUUUAGUAAAAAAGCUAAAAUUUUUUUAAAAGACGAGAAGACCCUAUAAAUCUUUAUAAUUAUUUUAUGUUUAUUUUAAGGAUGUAUUUUGUAUUUAUGAUUUUAAUUAUUUUAUUGGGGUGAUAUUAAAAUUUAUUUAACUUUUAAUUUUUUUUUACAUUAAUUAAUGGUUUACUGAUCCGUUAUUUGCGAUUAUAAGAUUAAGUUACUUUAGGGAUAACAGCGUGAUUUUUUUGGAGAGUUCUUAUCGAUAAAAAAGAUUGCGACCUCGAUGUUGGAUUAAGAGAUAGGUUUGGGUGCAGUCAUUCAAAUUUUAAGUCUGUUCGACUUUUAAAUUCUUACAUGAUCUGAGUUCAAACCGGCGUGAGCCAGGUUGGUUUCUAUCUUUAAUGGGGUAAAAUAUUUUAGUACGAAAGGAUUGAAUAUUUGAAUUAAUUAUUUUGUUAUUUGAAUAUUAUUAAUUUACUAUUUU